GGGCGGGACACGUGGUAUCCUGUCUGAAUAUGGGGGGACCAUCCUCCAAGGCUAAAUACUCCUGACUGACCGAUAGUGAACCAGUACCGUGAGGGAAAGGCGAAAAGAACCCCGGCGAGGGGAGUGAAAAAGAACCUGAAACCGUGUACGUACAAGCAGUGGGAGCACAGAGCAAUCUGUGUGACUGCGUACCUUUUGUAUAAUGGGUCAGCGACUUAUAUUCUGUAGCAAGGUUAACCGAAUAGGGGAGCCGAAGGGAAACCGAGUCUUAACCGGGCGUUAAGUUGCAGGGUAUAGACCCGAAACCCGGUGAUCUAGCCAUGGGCAGGUUGAAGGUUGGGUAACACUAACUGGAGGACCGAACCGACUAAUGUUGAAAAAUUAGCGGAUGACUUGUGGCUGGGGGUGAAAGGCCAAUCAAACCGGGAGAUAGCUGGUUCUCCCCGAAAGCUAUUUAGGUAGCGCCUCGUGAAUUCAUCUCCGGGGGUAGAGCACUGUUUCGGCAAGGGGGUCAUCCCGACUUACCAACCCGAUGCAAACUGCGAAUACCGGAGAAUGUUAUCACGGGAGACACACGGCGGGUGCUAACGUCCGUCGUGAAGAGGGAAACAACCCAGACCGCCAGCUAAGGUCCCAAAGUCAUGGUUAAGUGGGAAACGAUGUGGGAAGGCCCAGACAGCCAGGAUGUUGGCUUAGAAGCAGCCAUCAUUUAAAGAAAGCGUAAUAGCUCACUGGUCGAGUCGGCCUGCGCGGAAGAUGUAACGGGGCUAAACCAUGCACCGAAGCUGCGGCAGCGACACUGUGUGUUGUUGGGUAGGGGAGCGUUCUGUAAGCCUGUGAAGGUGUGCUGUGAGGCAUGCUGGAGGUAUCAGAAGUGCGAAUGCUGACAUAAGUAACGAUAAAGCGGGUGAAAAGCCCGCUCGCCGGAAGACCAAGGGUUCCUGUCCAACGUUAAUCGGGGCAGGGUGAGUCGACCCCUAAGGCGAGGCCGAAAGGCGUAGUCGAUGGGAAACAGGUUAAUAUUCCUGUACUUGGUGUUACUGCGAAGGGGGGACGGAGAAGGCUAUGUUGGCCGGGCGACGGUUGUCCCGGUUUAAGCGUGUAGGCUGGUUUUCCAGGCAAAUCCGGAAAAUCAAGGCUGAGGCGUGAUGACGAGGCACUACGGUGCUGAAGCAACAAAUGCCCUGCUUCCAGGAAAAGCCUCUAAGCAUCAGGUAACAUCAAAUCGUACCCCAAACCGACACAGGUGGUCAGGUAGAGAAUACCAAGGCGCUUGAGAGAACUCGGGUGAAGGAACUAGGCAAAAUGGUGCCGUAACUUCGGGAGAAGGCACGCUGAUAUGUAGGUGAAGUCCCUCGCGGAUGGAGCUGAAAUCAGUCGAAGAUACCAGCUGGCUGCAACUGUUUAUUAAAAACACAGCACUGUGCAAACACGAAAGUGGACGUAUACGGUGUGACGCCUGCCCGGUGCCGGAAGGUUAAUUGAUGGGGUCAGCGCAAGCGAAGCUCUUGAUCGAAGCCCCGGUAAACGGCGGCCGUAACUAUAACGGUCCUAAGGUAGCGAAAUUCCUUGUCGGGUAAGUUCCGACCUGCACGAAUGGCGUAAUGAUGGCCAGGCUGUCUCCACCCGAGACUCAGUGAAAUUGAACUCGCUGUGAAGAUGCAGUGUACCCGCGGCAAGACGGAAAGACCCCGUGAACCUUUACUAUAGCUUGACACUGAACAUUGAGCCUUGAUGUGUAGGAUAGGUGGGAGGCUUUGAAGUGUGGACGCCAGUCUGCAUGGAGCCGACCUUGAAAUACCACCCUUUAAUGUUUGAUGUUCUAACGUGGACCCGUGAUCCGGGUUGCGGACAGUGUCUGGUGGGUAGUUUGACUGGGGCGGUCUCCUCCUAAAGAGUAACGGAGGAGCACGAAGGUUGGCUAAUCCUGGUCGGACAUCAGGAGGUUAGUGCAAUGGCAUAAGCCAGCUUGACUGCGAGCGUGACGGCGCGAGCAGGUGCGAAAGCAGGUCAUAGUGAUCCGGUGGUUCUGAAUGGAAGGGCCAUCGCUCAACGGAUAAAAGGUACUCCGGGGAUAACAGGCUGAUACCGCCCAAGAGUUCAUAUCGACGGCGGUGUUUGGCACCUCGAUGUCGGCUCAUCACAUCCUGGGGCUGAAGUAGGUCCCAAGGGUAUGGCUGUUCGCCAUUUAAAGUGGUACGCGAGCUGGGUUUAGAACGUCGUGAGACAGUUCGGUCCCUAUCUGCCGUGGGCGCUGGAGAACUGAGGGGGGCUGCUCCUAGUACGAGAGGACCGGAGUGGACGCAUCACUGGUGUUCGGGUUGUCAUGCCAAUGGCACUGCCCGGUAGCUAAAUGCGGAAGAGAUAAGUGCUGAAAGCAUCUAAGCACGAAACUUGCCCCGAGAUGAGUUCUCCCUGACCCUUUAAGGGUCCUGAAGGAACGUUGAAGACGACGACGUUGAUAGGCCGGGUGUGUAAGCGCAGCGAUGCGUUGAGCUAACCGGUACUAAUGAACCGUGAGGCUUAACCUUACAACGCCGAAGGUGUUU
rnacentral:rRNA from 1 species